AWAARUGAKYUACGAUGUSAGUGACGGUUACGGGGAAUUAGGGUUCAAUUCCGGAGAGGGAGCCUGAGAAACSGYUACCACAUCUAAGGAAGGCAGCAGGCGCGCAAAUUACCCAAUUCUAACAGCAUAAGAGAGGUAGUGACAAGAAAUAACAGUACAAGGCAGUUAAAAUGCUUUGUAAUUGGAAUGAUAGAAAUUUAAAUACUUUUUAAAGUAUCAAUUGGAGGGCAAGUCUGGUGCCAGCAGCCGCGGUAAUUCCAGCUCCAAUAGCGUAUAUUAAAAUUGUUGCAGUUAAAAAGCUCGUAGUUAAAUUUUUGCUAAAAAUAACCGGUCUGCUUUUAUUAAUAAAAGUGGUAUCUUGGUGUGUUUUUAGCAAUAAUGUCCUUUGAAAUGUUUUUUACUUUAUUGUAAAAAGCAAUUUUCAGGAUUUUUACUUUGAGAAAAUUAGAGUGUUUCAAGCAGGCUAACGUUUUGAAUACUGCAGCAUGGAAUAAUAAAAUAGGAUUUUAGUUCUACGUUAUUGGUUUUAAGAACUAAUUUWAUGAUUGAUAGGAGCAGUUGGGGGCAUUUGUAUUUAACUGUCAGAGGUGAAAUUCUUAGAUUUGA
rnacentral:rRNA from 1 species